rnacentral:rRNA from 1 species
GACGUAGGGCGCGAGCGUUGUCCGGAUUUAUUGGGCGUAAAGAGCUCGUAGGCGGCUUGGCAAGUCGGAUGUGAAAACUCCAGGCUCAACCUGAAGCCGCCAUUCGAUACUGCUAUGGCUAGAGUCCGGUAGGGGAGUGUGGAAUUCCCGGUGUAGCGGUGAAAUGCGCAGAUAUCGGGAGGAACACCGAUGGCGAAGGCAGCACUCUGGGCCGGUACUGACGCUGAGGAGCGAAAGCGUGGGAGCGAAC